GUUCCAAAAUUAAAUAAAUAAAUAAACCAUUAAAUAAUUACUUUAAUGUGUCAUUGAUUAAUUAAAAUUGGAAUUAAAUACAUAAAUGUGUUAUUAAAUGUGUCAUUAUUUCAUUAAAAUACCAAUUUAUUUUAUGUAAAAAACAUAUAUAAUUAUUUCACUAUUUAAUUAAGUAUUUCAUGGUCCUGUGUUGCAGUGCUUCAUGAAUUUAUUUUAUCUGUCAAACUCGCCCAUCAAAGUCAGUCGGCGGGGCAAACGCUAAUCUAGUCUAAUCCAUUGCUUUGGUCUGAAGUCUUUCAAAACAUGGUAGCUACGAUGAUGGAGGACCUCCAUGACCUUUCUAGGGAGUUGGUGAGAGAUAUUUUAGACCUAGCAGAGAAUGUGGAAGUAGAACAUGCUGACCCAGAACAUGUAGCGUGUAAAGCAGAGGAAUUUACUGAAGUUGUUGGAGUUACUUCCGCACUUUCUGACCAAGAUAUUGACCGUAGAGUGACUGCAAAUUUAGAAGAAGUACUCCACCGCUUCUCCGGUAACGUUACCAGGGAGCAACAGGCACAACACACACAGGGACCAGGGCGUUUGGUGUUUGACAUACCGAGUGCAGUUCUGGAGCAUCAAGUUCUUUGUGGAUUACCAGCUUGUCAAAUUGCAGCGAUGUUCGGGGUGUCAAAGAGGACCAUCAGGAGGCGCAUGAAACAAAGCGGUUUAAGGUCACGUUAUUACCAAAUUCACGAGUUUUCAGUUUAUGAAUUGCCAGUCUCAUCCACUCAGAAAUGAUAUUACGUUAAGUGUAGUCUGGGGCCGUUAGUGGCCGUUUUGGUAAGGAAACAGAACCAGGGCGAGUGAGACAGGAUCCGGAAUUUGAUGGAUGUGCCUUUCCGUAAAAAUAAAAGCACGAAGCUAAUAAAAAUGCGGUGAAACUUUUAAUUUAAAGAAUAUAAUUUACAAGAAAAGCCCCAAACUUGAAUUUUGGUUAUUUUUGAGGCUGUGGUGGUUCUGUAGUGUAAUAGUUGACUGUUUCACACACGUCAUUAUAUUGUCUGUUUUAUUAUGACACCACUAUUUCCUCAAAAUAAGUGAUUCUGUGAGUAUCUUUGUUCCAGUACUGGUCAAAUAGAUUGAACAGGUGUUUCUAAUGAAGUUGCCAGUGAGUGUAUCGUUAUUUAUUUUAUUUUCCUCCCCUUAGUCUCAAGACUGCAAGAGUCUUUACGCGGAGUCGAUGCAGAGGGAAGUCUAAGGCUGCAUGUAUUAAGACGACGGCAGUAUUCUGUUCCUGGCCCAAACUCUUUAUGGCAUAUAGAUGGCAAUCAUAAGCUCAUCAGGUCAGUGAUAUUAGCAGAUAAACAAUGUAUCUUUCUAUAGAUGUCAUUAGAAUUGUUUUACAAUAAAGUUGUGCUUUUUUGUGUCUUCACAAUUGCCUGACAGGUGGAGAUUUGUUGUCCAUGGUGGGGUGGAUGGAUUCAGUCGUUUAAUGGUCUACCUGACUGUGGCUGGCAAUAAUAGAGCUAGUACAGUCUUACAGAGCUUUAUUGCUGCUGUUGAGCAGUAUGGGCUGCUAUCAAGGGUACGGUCUGAUAAAGGGGGGGAGAAUGCAGAUGUAGCAGAAUUCAUGAUCAGGAGCAGAGGUACCGACAGGAAUUCGCACAUCACAGGCAGAAGUGUCCACAAUCAGCGAAUAGAGAGAAUGUGGAGAGAUGUUUAUGAACAUGCCCUGGACCUCUUCUAUCAGAUCUUCACUUCAUUGGAAGAUCAGGGAACACUGAAUCCAGACAAUGAAGUCCAUCUUUUCGCACUGCAUCGGCUCUUCCUUCCACUAAUUCAGCAAAGCCUCGACUCUUUCAGAGAAGCUUGGAACUUUCAUGGUCUUAGAACUGAAAGGAAUCAGUCACCGCAGCAACUCUGGAGAAGAUACAGAGAGCAAGGCCCUAUGGUGGAUCCUACUGAGGUUUAUGAAGACUAUGGGAUCGACUAGAACAGACUUCACAGUCUUCAUGGAGGCACUGUGUCAGUCCCCGAGGUUCAGCUGGCCCGUGAGCUCUCAGAUGAAGAGGUUGCCAUUUUGCUAGCUCCAGGAGUUUCUGUAACUGAUGCACUUAGAUCAUAUGUAGAGACUGUGCAAAUUUUAUCAAGAAUCAUAGCAGACUGAUGUCCAACCCAUGCUUUUAUUUAGCAUGUUAGAGCAAACAAGCAUAAACGGAAAAAGUUUGCUUUCCUUCAAAAAAAAGCUGUGUUACCUUAAAGCUCAUAAUCACUGUUAUGAUCUCAUAAAUGGACUUUAUGCACAGCUCCACUACUUCCUAAACUUAAAUACACUCCUUUACUUCCUGUCUCAUUAUUUGCCACAGAAUGAAUGACAUGAAUGCUGUUCUGUUAACACUGAAAGAUGAAGAUGCAGAACUGUUUGGUUUCAGUAAAUGGAAACAAUGUUUUGAAUAAAACAAUUGUCAACUACUACACAGUAUGUUUAAAUGUUUUCAAAGACACCAAACUUGUAUCAAUUGACCUGACAUACUGAACAGUGCAUGCAAUACCAUCUGUCUGGAAAAAAUACUUAAACAAGUCCAAAUCCAGUCUGUGCACUAUUUAUGGCAGAGACAAGUGCUUUCUCGAAGUCCAUGUAGGUUUUGAAAUGAGCUGGCAGCUUCAGUGUUUCAAAGCAUGUGGAAGACGUAGGAAGGGUUCCCCCAGAAAUCUCCACCUUCAGUUCAGAAAGGAAGCAUCUCCCAGCCAACCCAGAAUGUCAGCAGCUGGGCCAGUGUACCUG